GAUGAACGCUGGCGGCGUGCCUAAUACAUGCAAGUCGAGCGAACAGACGAGGAGCUUGCUCCUCUGACGUUAGCGGCGGACGGGUGAGUAACACGUGGAUAACCUACCUAUAAGACUGGGAUAACUUCGGGAAACCGGAGCUAAUACCGGAUAACAUGUUGAACCGCAUGGUUCAACAGUGAAAGACGGUCUUGCUGUCACUUAUAGAUGGAUCCGCGCCGCAUUAGCUAGUUGGUAAGGUAACGGCUUACCAAGGCAACGAUGCGUAGCCGACCUGAGAGGGUGAUCGGCCACACUGGAACUGAGACACGGUCCAGACUCCUACGGGAGGCAGCAGUAGGGAAUCUUCCGCGAAGGGCGAAAGCCUGACGGAGCAACGCCGCGUGAGUGAAGAAGGUCUUCGGAUCGUAAAACUCUGUUAUUAGGGAAGAACAAAUGUGUAAGUAACUAUGCACGUCUUGACGGUACCUAAUCAGAAAGCCACGGCUAACUACGUG
rnacentral:rRNA from 1 species